GCACAGGUGAUUAGUGGCGAACGGGUGAGUAACACGUGAGUAACCUGCCCCUGACUCUGGGAUAAGCCCGGGAAACUGGGUCUAAUACUGGAUAUGCACCGUGAACCGCAUGGUUCUUGGUGGAAAGAUUUUUUGGUCAGGGAUGGACUCGCGGCCUAUCAGCUUGUUGGUGAGGUAAUGGCUCACCAAGGCGACGACGGGUAGCCGGCCUGAGAGGGUGACCGGCCACACUGGGACUGAGACACGGCCCAGACUCCUACGGGAGGCAGCAGUGGGGAAUAUUGCACAAUGGGCGAAAGCCUGAUGCAGCGACGCCGCGUGAGGGAUGACGGCCUUCGGGUUGUAAACCUCUUUCAGUAGGGAAGAAGCGAAAGUGACGGUACCUGCAGAAGAAGCGCCGGCUAACUACGUGCCAGCAGC
rnacentral:rRNA from 1 species